GUACAGAGGGAUGCUACCGGGCGACCGGAUGCGGAUCUCGAAAGCCUGUCCCAGUUCGGACUGGAGUCUGCAACCCGACUCCACGAAGUUGGAUUCGCUAGUAAUCGCGCAUCAGCCAUGGCGCGGUGAAUACGUUCCCGGGCCUUGUACACACCGCCCGUCAAGCCAUGGGAGCCGGGGGGCGCCUGAAGUCCGGGACCGCGAGGACCGGCCUAGGGCGAAACUGGUAACUGGGGCUAAGUCGUAACAAGGUAAC
rnacentral:rRNA from 1 species